AUUACACGCACCAUAACUACUUCAGUGAUUUGAUGUGGUCAUGGUGUUUGGAGUCUGUAUGUGCAGUGUUCCAUUUGGAAAUGCUGCACAUAAACAGUUAAAGCGCAUAGCUGCAUAUAUGACAUCUGUAAUCAGCAUGCAUAGCAUGAUGGUGACAAGCAACCAAUGACGGCACACCCUCUCCCCACCUGUGCCUCGCAUGUCCUCC